rnacentral:rRNA from 1 species
GAUGAACGCUAGCGGCAGGCUUAACACAUGCAAGUCGAGGGGCAGCAAGGAAAGUGCUCGCACUUUUUGUUGGCGACCGGCGCACGGGUGCGUAACGCGUAUGCAACCUACCUAUAACAGGGGGAUAACACUGAGAAAUUGGUACUAAUACCCCGUAACAUCAGAGAGGCAUCCUUUUUGGUUGAAAGUUCCGGCGGUUAUAGAUGGGCAUGCGUUGUAUUAGCUAGUAGGUGAGGUAACGGCUCACCUAGGCGACGAUACAUAGGGGGACUGAGAGGUUAACCCCCCACAUUGGAACUGAGACACGGACCAAACUCCUACGGGAGGCAGCAGUGAGGAAUAUUGGUCAAUGGGCGCAAGCCUGAACCAGCCAUGCCGCGUGCAGGAAGACGGCUCUAUGAGUUGUAAACUGCUUUUGUAUAAGGGUAAAAUUGGGUACGUGUACCCAACUGAAAGUACUAUACGAAUAAGGGUCGGCUAACUCCGUGCCAGCCGCCGCAGUAAGAC